ACACAUGCAAGUCGAACGGUAACAGGAAGCAGCUUGCUGCUUCGCUGACGAGUGGCGGACGGGUGAGUAAUGUCUGGGAAACUGCCUGAUGGAGGGGGAUAACUACUGGAAACGGUAGCUAAUACCGCAUAACGUCGCAAGACCAAAGAGGGGGACCUUCGGGCCUCUUGCCAUCGGAUGUGCCCAGAUGGGAUUAGCUAGUAGGUGGGGUAACGGCUCACCUAGGCGACGAUCCCUAGCUGGUCUGAGAGGAUGACCAGCCACACUGGAACUGAGACACGGUCCAGACUCCUACGGGAGGCAGCAGUGGGGAAUAUUGCACAAUGGGCGCAAGCCUGAUGCAGCCAUGCCGCGUGUAUGAAGAAGGCCUUCGGGUUGUAAAGUACUUUCAGCGGGGAGGAAGGUGUUGAGGUUAAUAACCUCAGCAAUUGACGUUACCCGCAGAAGAAGCACCGGCUAACUCCGUGCCAGCAGCCGCGGUAAUACGGAGGGUGCAAGCGUUAAUCGGAAUUACUGGGCGUAAAGCGCACGCAGGCGGUCUGUCAAGUCGGAUGUGAAAUCCCCGGGCUCAACCUGGGAACUGCAUUCGAAACUGGCAGGCUAGAGUCUUGUAGAGGGGGGUAGAAUUCCAGGUGUAGCGGUGAAAUGCGUAGAGAUCUGGAGGAAUACCGGUGGCGAAGGCGGCCCCCUGGACAAAGACUGACGCUCAGGUGCGAAAGCGUGGGGAGCAAACAGGAUUAGAUAC
rnacentral:rRNA from 1 species